UGUUCGUCUUCGUCCUUUAUCCCCGGCAUCCCACCUCCUCUCUGAGACUCUGAAGCGGCGACUUUAUACUGCCUGAUAAAUCCCAGCAUUCAACCUAAUAAAUCGGAGCAUUCAAAAAGUGAAAACUUCUCAAGGGAGUUCAUCCGCUGCCGCCGUGUCCCAGCAUUCAACCUAAUAAAUCGGAGCAUUCAAAAAGUGAAAACUUCUCAAGGGAGUUCAUCCGCUGCCGCCGUGUUCUGCAGCUUUAAAAGCAAGUCGUGGUGCCAUCCGCCUCCACACCAAUCACGGCUGCCUGCUCGCGCCACCACCAUGCCAAGUAGCCUCCAUGCCCUACGGAUUUUUGCUCGAAGUUUUACACCCGCAAGAUUUGGGCUGCUGCUACCUCAGGCCAUCCGGAUUUCUUGGGAUUUCUUCCAGUUUUCUUGGGAUUUCUUGCCUUCUCUUUCAGGUUGAUGGAUCUUAAUUUCCGUUGAUUGAAUUGUCGGUAUGCUGGUAAUCAUCGACGCUGCACAUCAUCCCCCUCUUCAAUUGUGCUCUAGUUCCCUUGCUAAGAACUCUCCUGCACCGGCAUCUCUUCUUGUGCCCUUUGCGCUGCAUGGUCACAAAGUGGAGCCUAAGGAGAGUACGCCAAGUCGGCGGAUGGCAGGGGACCUUUGUGACUCUGUCCCAAGGCGAGUAUAUCCAGGGUUGAUUUGAUUUGAACCGAUGUGUUUGGGGCUGUGCAAGAACAAGUGAACGACAUGCUGGAGACCCAAGGUUGAUCUAGACAUCAAGUUGAAUGAGUCUGGUGCCAAGUACUUAUGUUACGGUUUUGAAGUUGUCGACACAUCUGGCGGUGAAGCUCAGGGAUAAGGGUCUGCCUCGGCCGGUCGGACGAGUAUUUGUGGUCAGUUUAAGUCCUUAAAUAUUUGUAUGUAUACAGCCGCAAGUUCAAUUGGUUCCUGUAAGCCAGCGUGCAAGAGGAUUCGAAUUUGCUCCAUUUAACACGUAUUAUAUCUUCAUGUUUUACUUCUCCUUGCACAUCAGAUCAUAGAUCUGAACCUCCAGACGCUAGAGUAUCACAAAUCAAGACCCUUGAAAAUAUAUCCUAAUUCUGAUGACUGUAUGGAAUGUUAUGGUCAACCCCUGCUUGAUCUGUUGUUCCAUUUUAUGUCAGAUUCCUUGCAGUGAAAACGUCGAUGCAGUCUAAUGUGAUUUUUUUCUGCUCUUACAUGUAGGACGCAGGAUUGCAAGGAUGAACCUAUAUGGCCGCUCUCCAUCUCAUGGAAGAGUAACAAAUAACACCCUUCAGAAAUAAAGGCAACAUUGGACAUCUUCAAGUGUAGCAGCCAUGUGAGUUGCAUGGGACUCGACAGUAGCAAGUCUGUUGUUUCAUUCUGACGUGCUCGGUUAUAUUGGCUACUGGUAUGUGGCAUGCACUCUUUGUUUGCUUAUAGAUAGUCUCUAUUAGCCCCAUACUGGUAGACUAUCUAUGCGUAUUACAAUGAUCUUGUUAUAACGAGGAAAUGGUGAGUUCCAAAUUCUUUGGCAAACAACAUUGUAUUGGGUUUGCAUUGCCAUUGUUACUGUCUUAACUUUUAAUGUCUUUGUUUCAGAUAUAGGUGUUGCAUGGAGAACAUAAAACAUUGCCGAAUCCCUUCAUUGUAUUGUUAGGUUUAAUUACCAUUCAAUUUCUCUAGGUUCUGUAAUAUUUCUUCAAAGCUUUGCAGCUGACGUAAUAUUUUUUCAAAGCCUUAUCGCUGAUGUAAUAUUUAGUUAGUUUCUACAGUUCUUUUCCGCAUUAUUUCCUAACUGUAAU